AUUGAACGCUGGCGGCAGGCUUAACACAUGCAAGCCGAGCGGGGGAAGGUAGCUUGCUACCGGACCUAGCGGCGGACGGGUGAGUAAUGCUUAGGAAUCUGCCUAUUAGUGGGGGACGACAUCUCGAAAGGGAUGCUAAUACCGCAUACGUCCUACGGGAGAAAGCAGGGGAUCUUCGGACCUUGCGAUAAUAGAUGAGCCUAAGUCGGAUUAGCUAGUUGGUGGGGUAAAGGCCUACCAAGGCGACGAUCUGUAGCGGGUCUGAGAGGAUGUUCCGCCACACUGGGACUGAGACACGGCCCAGACUCCUACGGGAGGCAGCAGUGGGGAAUAUUGGACAAUGGGGGGAACCCUGAUCCAGCCAUGCCGCGUGUGUGAAGAAGGCCUUAUGGUUGUAAAGCACUUUAAGCGAGGAGGAGGCUACUUUAGUUAAUACCUAGAGAUAGUGGACGUUACUCGCAGAAUAAGCACCGGCUAACUCUGUGCCAGCAGCCGCCGUAA
rnacentral:rRNA from 1 species